rnacentral:rRNA from 1 species
GACGAACGCUGGCGGCGUGCCUAAUACAUGCAAGUAGAACGCUGAAGAGAGGAGCUUGCUCUUCUUGGAUGAGUUGCGCACGGGUGAGUAACGCGUAGGUAACCUGCCUUGUAGCGGGGGAUAACUAUUGGAAACGAUAGCUAAUACCGCAUAACAAUGGAUGACACAUGUCAUUUAUUUGAAAGGGGCAAUUGCUCCACUACAAGAUGGACCUGCGUUGUAUUAGCUAGUAGGUGAGGUAACGGCUCACCUAGGCGACGAUACAUAGCCGACCUGAGAGGGUGAUCGGCCACACUGGGACUGAGACACGGCCCAGACUCCUACGGGAGGCAGCAGUAGGGAAUCUUCGGCAAUGGGGGCAACCCUGACCGAGCAACGCCGCGUGAGUGAAGAAGGGUUUCGGAUCGUAAAGCUCUGUUGUAAGUCAAGAACGAGUGUGAGAGUGGAAAGUUCACACUGUGACGGUAGCUGACCAGAAAGGGACGGCUAACUACGUG